rnacentral:rRNA from 1 species
AUAAGAGGUCCCGCCUGCCCGGUGACUAUUAGUUUAACGGCCGCGGUAUUUUGACCGUGCAAAGGUAGCGCAAUCACUUGUCCUUUAAAUGAGGACCUGUAUGAAUGGCACCACGAGGGCUCAACUGUCUCCUUUUUCCUGUCAAUGAAAUUGAUCUCCCCGUGCAGAAGCGGGGAUCCCCCCAUAAGACGAGAAGACCCUAUGGAGCUUCAGGCACCAGAACAGACUAUGUUAAGCACCCUAAUACAAAAGACAAAACUAACUAGCCCCUAUUCUAAUGCCUUUGGUUGGGGCGACCGCGGGGAAACAGAAAACCCCCACGUGGACUAAGAGCACCUCCCCUCUUACAACCAAGGGCUACAGCCCUAAGUAACAGAACCUCUGACCCUAAACGAUCCGGUAUAACCGAUCAACGAACCGAGUUACCCUAGGGAUAACAGCGCAAUCCCCUUCUAGAGUCCAUAUCGACAAGGGGGUUUACGACCUCGAUGUUGGAUCAGGACAUCCUAUUGGUGCAACCGCUAUUAAGGGUUCGUUGUUCAACGAUU